UACAGAGGGUGCGAGCGUUGUCCGGAAUCGCUGGGCGUAAAGGGCGCGUAGGCGGCUUGAUAAGUAGGGGGUGAAAUCUUGCGGCUCAACUGCAAGGCUGCCUCCUAAACUGUCAGGCUUGAGCACAGUAGAGGCAGGUGGAAUUCCCGGUGUAGCGGUGGAAUGCGUAGAGAUCGGGAAGAACAUCGGUGGCGAAGGCGGCCUGCUGGGCUGUUGCUGACGCUGAGGCGCGACAGCGUGGGGAGCAAACAGG
rnacentral:rRNA from 1 species